ensembl:snoRNA snoRNA:Me28S-C3420b snoRNA:Me28S-C3420b
GGCAUUCUGAUGAUAAAAUCAUGACGGUCUUCAUAAAACAAAUUGCUGAAGAACCUUGACUCUUCUCAAUAAAAAUGAGAAUACUGAUAUU